rnacentral:rRNA from 1 species
UACGUAGGUGGCAAGCGUUGUCCGGAGUUAUUGGGCGUAAAGCGCGCGCAGGCGGUGCGGUAAGUCUCUGGUGAAAGCGCUCGGCUUAACUGGGCGAGGGCCGGGGAGACUGCCACGCUGGAGGGGAGCAGAGGCGAGUGGAAUUCCGGGUGUAGUGGUGAAAUGCGUAGAGAUCCGGAGGAACACCAGUGGCGAAGGCGGCUCGCUGGGCUCUACCUGACGCUGAGGCGCGAAAGCUAGGGGAGCGAACGGG